rnacentral:rRNA from 1 species
GAUGAACGCUAGCUACAGGCUUAACACAUGCAAGUCGAGGGGCAGCGGUAUCGAAAGCUUGCUUUCGGUAGCCGGCGACCGGCGCACGGGUGAGUAACGCGUAUCGAACCUGCCUCAUACUCGGGAAUAGCCUUGCGAAAGUAAGAUUAAUGCCCGGUGUUUUCAGAGUCCCGCAUGAGGCUUUGAACAAAGAUUUAUCGGUAUGAGAUGGUGAUGCGUCCCAUUAGCUUGUUGGCGGGGUAACGGCCCACCAAGGCAUCGAUGGGUAGGGGUUCUGAGAGGAAGGUCCCCCACAUUGGAACUGAGACACGGUCCAAACUCCUACGGGAGGCAGCAGUGAGGAAUAUUGGUCAAUGGGCGGAAGCCUGAACCAGCCAAGUAGCGUGCAGGAAGACGGCCCUCCGGGUUGUAAACUGCUUUUAGUUGGGAAUAAAACGGGGCUCGUGAGCCCCCUUGCAUGUACCAUCAGAAAAAGGACCGGCUAAUUCCGUG